rnacentral:rRNA from 1 species
AUUGAACGCUGGCGGCAGGCCUAACACAUGCAAGUCGAGCGGAUGAAGGGAGCUUGCUCCUGGAUUCAGCGGCGGACGGGUGAGUAAUGCCUAGGAAUCUGCCUGGUAGUGGGGGAUAACGUCCGGAAACGGGCGCUAAUACCGCAUACGUCCUGAGGGAGAAAGUGGGGGAUCUUCGGACCUCACGCUAUCAGAUGAGCCUAGGUCGGAUUAGCUAGUUGGUGGGGUAAAGGCCUACCAAGGCGACGAUCCGUAUCUGGUCUGAGAGGAUGAUCAGUCACACUGGAACUGAGACACGGUCCAGACUCCUACGGGAGGCAGCAGUGGGGAAUAUUGGACAAUGGGCGAAAGCCUGAUCCAGCCAUGCCGCGUCUGUGAAGAAGGUCUUCGGAUUGUAAAGCACUUUAAGUUGGGAGGAAGGGCAGUAAGUUAAUACCUUGCUGUUUUGACGUUACCAACAGAAUAAGCACCGGCUAACUUCGUG